rnacentral:lncRNA from 1 species
GAUCCAUUCUUAACUUUUGUGCACCAUCCCACCAAUCUUCUCCAUGUACCCUUAAAAAAUGAAACCAAACUUAACAGUCAACUAAUCUUUCUUUUAAAAAAAGACCUUAUUUUUGCAAUAUGUAUCUUCUAUUUUAGCUCAUAAAUAUCUUAUGUUUUCACAUUUUGAUACGUUUUAAAGUACAUUUUAUGAUUUCUACCAACAGUGGGUCAUAUUGUGAACAGACAAAUAAAAACUGUUCCAUUAACUUGAAAAUACUUCGUCUAUAAUUCAGUUUUCAGUACAACUAUAAUUGUAUUGUAAGCUCAGAAAAAGCCUUUAUUUACUUCAAAAGCAGACUCCUUUAGAUCUCAUUGUCCUGUAGGUAAACCCCCCAAGGCCUCCUUUAUUAUUAGACUCUUCUGUACAAGUUUCUUCGUGUUUUGAAGAAACUCAAAGAUUUCAAGAGUUAAACCUUGAUGAAAAAUUCAAUGGAACAAACUCGAGCCCCUGUAAUUUUAAAAUCUGCUUAAAUUCUCCUCAGUUAUAUUGUUAUUUUUUUCUAUCCUAUUUAAACUAACUGCCAGUUAAGAUGACAUCAGGUUAGGUUACAUCUGACCAUACAGUCUUGGGAAAUUUACAGAUGGCUUUCUGAAAGAUUUUAAAAUGUAUCCUUUCAUUGAAUUUAAUGAUAUGUGUUUACUACAUUUACAAAUAAACUUGUUUAUCUAACUAAAAACAACAUUUUUUUUUUUUCUCACAGUUCUGGAGGCUGCAACUCUGAAAGAGUGCCAACAUGGCCCAGUUUUGUGAGAGCUCUCUUCUUGGGUGCAGACAGCUGAUUUCUUGUUGUUUUGCCACAAGGUGGUAAGAAAACUAGCUGGCUCUCUGGGACCUCUUCUUAUAAGGGCACUAAUUCCCUAAGAAGGGUACUAAUCCCAUUCACGAGGGCUCCACUGCAUGAUCUAAUUACCUCCUAAAUGGCCUCCUUCUCAAUACCCUUACAGUAGGAUUAAAGCUUUGACAUAUGAAUUUUGGGGAAGCAAAAUUCAGUCCACUGUACAACAUAACUAAAUUGUACUUCAGUGUGAAGUGCAAUUUCCACCUAUUAGUACUUAACUUGACUGAGGCUCUUUUGUCCUUUAAAAUAGGCAUGUCAUCCAAGAAAUUAUUUCUUACAUUUAAAUAAUGGUAGUGAAGAUAAUAAUUUACAGUGCUAUAUUACUUACCAUAUUUCAGAAUAACAUGCAUAUAUUACAGCCUUGGGCUUUUACUACAAAUUUCUAAAAGAGACUCAGAAUCAUUGUAAAGAAUGAGAAAAACAGUCCAUAAAGAAAAAUCGACCCACAAAGGGGGAUUCUGAAAAACAAAAUAUGUGAUCUUAAUUUUCAUUCAGAGUUUUUUCCACUUUACCUAUUAUGUAAAGGUACCCCCUCCAAAAAAAUCUCUCAGUGUAGCAUUGCUCUACAUUCUUUUCUGAUUAUUAAGGGGAAAUAAACAGUGCAUAACAGUAGUAUCUUGCAUCACUAUUAUCUUAUUGUAUUGUCUUUUCACAUAGAACUACUAUGGAUAUAUAAAAUUCACUGUAGUGCUAUAAGCACAAAACACCUCAAGUCACUGAAGCUAAAAUCCUGGGUUUCAACCAGGGAUCCUAUACCUCCCACAUUUCUAUCUGAAUUCUCACAAAGUUUUAUGCAUCAUUAUUCUACAUUAUUCUAACUUGUUUUUAACUUCUAAAUCUAACUGCAAAUGAAUUAUUUGGGGCCUUAAGAAUUAUUGCCUCAGUUGCGGGAACAUCCCUCUGAUUGGUCACUUGCAAUCAUCCUCAAAUUUUUCAAAUUCAUCUUCAAGGUUUUACCAAAAAUACCUUUCUAAAAUGGCUUUUAAUCAUAUUUCUUUGGGGGUGCCUAGGUGGCUCAGUCAGUCUGCCUUUGGCUCAGGUCAUCAUCCCAGGGUCCUGGGAUCCAGCCCCUAGGAUCAAGCCUCCCCUAGACCAGGGAGCCUGCUUCCCCCUCCCCCUCUUAGCACACCCCUCAUCAUGCUUGUUCUCUCUCUCUCUCUCGUGCUCUUUCUCUCUCAAAUAAAUUAAUUAAUUUAAAAAAUCAUGUCUCUUUGUUAGAUGGUUCUUCAUCUUCAGGUUAAAACCCAAACUCCAGUGGCACCCGGGUGGCUCAGUUGGUUAAGUGUCCCACUCUUGAUUUUAACUCAUGAUCUCAGGGUCAUAAGAUAGAGCCCCGCAUCAGCUCUGCUGGGCAUGGAGCCUGCUUGAGAUUUUCUCACUCCCUCUGCCUCUCCAACAUCGCAUGUGCACAUGUUCUCUCUCUCUCUUUCUCUCUCUCUCUCUCAAAAUGAAACAAAACAAAACAAAACAAAACCCUCCAGAAUCUAACAUGGAACAUAGGCUUUCUAUAAUUUGGUCAAAAUUACUCUACAAUUUUUAAAAUCUUCACUGCAGAUGUGCUGAACAUUUUGUAGGUCCUUAAAGAAGACUACAUGCUUUCACAUCAUGGUGUCCUCCUGCAUGAUACUUUCUCCAGGGGUUAAUAAUCAACUCAACUCAUACCUUUUCCAUAUUCAAAAGACAAGCCUUUCCAUCGCUUCUGAGCAACUUCUCUGAUCUUCAAGGGUAAGUCUCUCUAUAAAGCUUCUAUUAAAAAACGAACAAACAAAAAUAACUCAGGCAGAACUGAGGCCCAGUCCUAUCAUGAUGCCAAGUCCAUGUGGAAUUUUAGUUUUCACUUCAGUCAGCCUUAUGAAACUAUUCAAGGGUGAAAUAGUUUCGUUUGUAUCAGAUACUGGUGGCCAGAUUCUUAGCACUUUGCUAUUUAAAAUGUGGUCUACAUGAUGCUUUUGUUCGGUAGGAGAGAAGACUGCACAACUCUGUGAGCAUGCUAUAACUUACUAAUUGUAAACACUUUAAAGACCAAUUUGACAGUGUGUAAAUAAUAUCUUAGUAAAACUGUUAUUGAAAAUAUAUAUGGUUUCAGGCCUUAUUCCAGAUUGCUACAUAUAACAAGACCUCCAGGUUGUUUGUAUAUACAAGCAUAACUCAGAGGCACUGAGAGUCCAUCUUUAGGAUACCACAAUAAAGUAAAUAUCACAAGAAAGAGAUUCAAAUGGAUUUUUCAGUUUCCCAGUACAUAUAAAAGUUAUGCUUACAUUAUGCUGUAGUCUACUAAAUGUGCAAUUGCAUUAUGGUUUUUAUAAAAGCAAAUACUUUAUGGAGAGAGGAAGAUGGCAGCAGAGUAGUAGGAACUAGGUUAGUCUAGUCCCACCAACAUGACUAGAAAACUAUCAAAUCAUCCUAAAUACCCCAGAGAUCAACCUGAACCCUGACAGAACAAAUUCUACAACUAAAGGGAGAGAAGAGGCCGCAUCAAAUAAGGUAGGAAGUAUAGCAACAUGAUUUAGGCAUUAAAAAAAUGGCCCACAGCAGGCUAGAAGAGCCUCUGCAGAUGACUGAUCCAAAGGAUAGAGCAGCCAAAACACAAUAGCAGAGCACAUGCAGCAUAUAUCAGAGAUAUUCUGUGAAGUGCCAGGCCCUGUUCCCUACAUCAUCUCUUUAUUAACCCAUUACUUUCAGGAGUGGGAGACAUAAUUGCUUUUCUAACACAGAGAAGAAGACAGAGACUUAGACAAAAUGCAGAGAUGGAGGAAUUUGUACUCAAUGAAAGAAUAAGAUGAGGACAAGGCCAAAGAUCUACACAAAGCAGAUACAAGUAACAUGCCCAAUGGAGAAUUUAAAACAACAAUCAUAGAGAUCCUCACUGGACUUGAGAAAAGAAUAGAAGACAUCAAUGAGCCCCAUAGAACAGGGAUAAAAUAGUUAUGAAAUAGUCAAUCAGAGAUGAACAGUGAAAUAAACAAGAUUAGACACAUGCUGGAUGCAAUGAACAGCAAGCUAGAAGAAGGAGAGGAAUAAAUUAGUGACACAGAAGAUAAAGUAAUGGAAAGUAAUGAAGCUGAACAAAAGAGAAAAAGAAACCUUAUGGAAUAUAAAAAUUGACUUAGUGAAUUCAGUGACUCCAACAAAUGAAAUCACAUUCGUAUUAAAGAAGUUCCAGAGAAAGAAGAGAGGGAAAAGAUGGCAGAAUUUUUUUUUCAAGAAAUGAUAGCAGAAAACAUCCCUAAUCUGGGGAAAGAAACAGACAUCCAGAUCCAGGAAGCACAAGAUCUCCUAACAAAAAAAAAAAAAAAAAAAAAAAAAAA